GCCGGGCGUGGUGGCUCACGCCUGUAAUCCCAGCACUUUGGGAGGCCGAGGCGGGUGGAUCACCUGAGGUCAGGAGUUCGAGACCAGCCUGACCAACAUGGUGAAACCCCGUCUCUA
rnacentral:SRP_RNA from 1 species